GAUGUUAACUUUUUAUAUACAUAUUCGACUGGGCUCAAUUGAUUAAGUACGAUUUAUUGUAUAAAGUAUUAUCCGGACCUCCGCCACAAAGAAAAUGACCCCCAAAGCUGUAAACCUAGGGGAAACACUCAUGAUGAUCAUAAAUGAGUAGUGGAGGAGGGGGUAGUAGGGAUGGGCAAUAUUAUAUCGUUCGCGAUAUACUGGUACAAAUUCCCCACACGAUAGGAAUUAGUCUUCCCGUGAUAUAAACGAUAAAUUCUAGUUGAUGACGUAUUUCUUUGUGAGACCCAUUCACAGCUCAUAUGUGACCUUGGACAACAAAACCAGUCUUAUGGGUCAAUUUUUCAAAAUUGAGAUUUGUACAUCAUCUGAAAGCUGAAUAAUUAAGCUUUCUAUUGAUGUAUUGAUGUUGUUAAGGACAGGACAAUAUAUGGCGGAGAUACAAACGUUUAUAACUCUGGAAUCUGAGGGUGCAAAAAAAUCAAAACAUUGAGAAAAUUGCCUUUAAAGUUGUCCAUCAGAGGCGCUGAAGCAGGCCAUCCACUCACAAAAAUAACGUUUUUAUAUAUUUAAGGUAGGACAUUUACAAAAUAUCUUCAUGGAAAAUGAUCUUUACUUAAUAUCCUAAUGAUUUUUGGCAUAAAAGAAAAAUCAAUAAUUUUGUCCCAUACAAUGUAUUUUGGGCUUUUACUAAAAAUGUUCCCGUGCUACUUAACACUGGUUUUGUGAUCCAGGGUCACAUAUGUGAAGCGAAAACGGGUAUAGCGGAGGGCGGACGUGAAGCUGAGAAAGAGUUUGCACUAAAAGACGAGCUCUAAAUCUCGUUUAGGUUGGCAAUGUAGAUGCAUCCGAGUUAAUGUUUAGUUUCACUUUCGUUUUAUUUAAUUUGUUUAAGUAUUCGUUGAUAGUCAUAAUAUGUUACACCACAACAUUUAGUUUGGCUAAAAGUAUUUAUUUAAACAUUCGUUAGAUGUUAUGCGCGCGUGCGCAAAUUGUUUAAUAUGAUUUCUUGCCUGUUAUAUACAGGAUGAACGGAGCGUCCCGUGCGCAGCUCGCGCCCACAUGUGCUUUCAUAGCGACACAGCGUGCACAGCACUGCUGCCUGUUUACAUACGGUACAAAAUCGCGAGUCAUAGACAGAUUCAGCGUAUGUUGCUGUGAGAAGAGAAGGUUCACACAGUUCAAGAGAGAGUGAUUGACAGCGUGAUGCGAUCGAUCGUUUCCACCCAACAAUAGAAUAUAUACAGUUUUAGGUAUGACGUGUUUAUUGAGCUUUAGUUCAUUUAACUUUUCUUUACUACAACCUUUUGAAGUCGAAUCUCACUAUUAUAUUUUAUAUUUACAAAAAUACUGUAGGUAUAUUUUAGGAGCUGUUUGAUUUGGGGUAAGUUUUACUUUUUUAUAAUAUUUGUUUUUCUGAGGGUCUAGACCACAUGCAGCUACUAUCACUUGAUGCAAAAAACAGUGGUUGAUGGCGUUAUGGAUAUCAUCAUUUUUAUCGUUAUCGCAACAAAUACCAGGAAUUAUCGUGAUAGAGUUUUAGGGCCAUAUCGCCCAUCCCUAGGGGGUAGGACUAUAUAAGCUGAUGCUUUUACCUACUUCUUUUCGGACAUGUAUAUGUUAUUAUAAUUUUGUUUCGUUAUUGUUUUGUUUAGUAGCUAACAUUGUAUUAUUUUCACAUGUUCGAAAUAAUGCUUUUCAUUCAUUCAUUGACAAAUAAAUCGGACAUGUGGUGUGACAUAGCAAAAAUGUAGAAAAAAACCCUAACAAUGAAGAUACAUCACUCUUAGGGCUGCACGAUUAAUCGCAAUUUUCACUAAAUAUUGCGGAAAUCGGCUCUUUGAUCAGUAGUAAGUGCUGCCCCAUCUGAAAUCACUGGGUUUCAGAGGCUUAUAACAUGCAUUUGAAAAUGAGAAACCCGUCAAACAUCAUCAUUAUAAAUAUACUUUAUUAUCAUAAAAACUGUUGUACUUCUGCGGCACUUAUUUGGAGUUUCUGUGCGACAGCACCCUCUGGCUUUCAGAUGCAGUAGCAUUUAACUGCGCUUCACUGAAGAACUGCGCAAAAACAAUCGUAGUAAAUCAGCUAAUCAUGUGCGGUUAAUUCACUCUUAUUCUGUUUUAUAUUAUAAAUAUUAACUACAUGUACAGGGCUGCUUCCAGCAAGAUCUUAUUAACACCCUGAUCAUUUAAUGAGCAGCAUGCUUCAUCUCUGUCUAAGCUUCUCUUAUCUGAUCUAUUUAUGCAGUUUUUAAUUCAGAUUUUUAGUUUUUUACUGAAAAUGGCAUGGCAUUUAAAAAUAUUGUUGCUGUCAGUCAUAUUUUGUUUUAAGCCAAACGAGAGUUGUGGACAUGCUGAUACAAGCUAAAAGUUAAAUACUUUGCAAAAUACUUUUGCUAAGCAUGUCCAUCUUGGUAAAGUGUAGUUUUGACUCAUUGAGCUUGUUUUUACAGUCAGGAUGUGGAAUUCUGUGGAUACAGCAUUACCCACCCAUCUGAAAGUAAAAUCAACUUCCGGAUACAGACACGAGGAGGACUUCCUGCAUAUGAACCUCUGCGCAGUGGCUUGAACAACCUCACUGAAGUGUGUAAACACAUCUUGCAGACAUUUGAG